rnacentral:rRNA from 1 species
GAUGAACGCUGGCGGCGUGCCUAAUACAUGCAAGUCGAGCGAACGGACGAGAAGCUUGCUUCUCUGAUGUUAGCGGCGGACGGGUGAGUAACACGUGGAUAGCCUACCUAUAAGACUGGGAUAACUUCGGGAAACCGGAGCUAAUACCGGAUAAUAUUUUGAACCGCAUGGUUCAAAAGUGAAAGACGGUCUUGCUGUCACUUAUAGAUGGAUCCGCGCUGCAUUAGCUAGUUGGUAAGGUAACGGCUUACCUAGGCAACGAUGCAUAGCCGACCUGAGAGGGUGAUCGGCCACACUGGAACUGAGACACGGUCCAGACUCCUACGGGAGGCAGCAGUAGGGAAUCUUCCGCAAUGGGCGAAAGCCUGACGGAGCAACGCCGCGUGAGUGAUGAAGGUCUUCGGAUCGUAAAACUCUGUUAUUAGGGAAGAACAUAUGUGUAAGUAACUGUGCACAUCUUGACGGUACCUAAUCAGAAAGCCACGGCUAACUACGUG